CCUACGGGAGGCAGCAGUGGGGAAUAUUGGACAAUGGGCGCAAGCCUGAUCCAGCAAUACCGCGUGUGUGAAGAAGGCCCUAGGGUUGUAAAGCACUUUCAAUGGGGAGGAAAACAGUCAGAUUAAUACCUUGGCUCUUGACAUUACCUUUAGAAGAAGCACCGGCUAACUCCGUGCCAGCAGCCGCGGUAAUACGGAGGGUGCGAGCGUUAAUCGGAAUUACUGGGCGUAAAGCGUGCGUAGGCGGUUCGUUAAGUCAGAUGUGAAAGCCCCGGGCUUAACCUGGGAACUGCAUUUGAAACUGGCGAACUAGAGUUUAAUAGAGGGGAGUGGAAUUUCAGGUGUAGCGGUGAAAUGCGUAGAUAUCUGAAGGAACACCAGUGGCGAAGGCGACUCCCUGGAUUAAAACUGACGCUGAGGUACGAAAGCGUGGGUAGCAAACAGGAUUAGAUACCCUGGUAGUCCACGCCGUAAACGAUGUCAACUAGCCGUUGGUCCUAUUUACAGGAUUAGUGGCGCAGCUAACGCAUUAAGUUGACCGCCUGGGGAGUACGGCCGCAAGGUUAAAACUCAAAGGAAUUGACGG
rnacentral:rRNA from 1 species